rnacentral:lncRNA from 1 species
CAGGAUAUGUCCUGCUUUUGUCUAUCGGAUAUAGUGCAACAAAUUCCUUAUUUAUAAGGAUAUAUUCAUACCUUUCUCAUGAGUUAAAAAGGAUUAUAUUUAUUUCUACAAUAUAUACUUGUGAAGAGAAAGCAGAGAGAGAAGGAUAUAUUCAUACCUUUCUCAUGAGUUAAAAAGGAUUAUAUUUAUUUCUACAAUAUAUACUUGUGAAAAGAAAGCAGAGAGAGAGAGAGAAUAGAUUCUUCACUUUAAAAAGUUUGGAGCCGUACACUUUGAGGAUAUCCACCCCACCUGCGUAGGUAUUUGAACUUUGACUGCUUGGCUUAGUGUUUAUGGAGUUUGAGCUAACAUUGCCUACCAAAAUGAAGAAAAAAGAAAGAAAGCAAGAUAUAGGUAAGGAAAAAGUAAUAUAAGAGCGAGGCUCUAAACAAUCAAAUUAAGAAACACCUAAAAAAUUCACUAAAUGAAAUUUUGAUGCUAAAAUCCCCAAAUUGAUUAUCUCGACCUUAAGAUGUAUAUAGACAAAUGAAAACAUGAAUUUCAAGUCUUGUAAUGCAUUUUUUUGGCCAUCAAUUUUCAGGUUUUUCAAGUGUUCAUAUAUCUGUUCGAUCUACACUAUUUUUGAAGCUUUAACUUUUAUAAUUAGAUACAAAAAUAAAAUUUCAAACCAUCACAAAGAUUUUCAGUAUUGAAACAACAUCUUUCAACAUUAUUUGAAGACUUUAAUUAUUUCGGGUCGGCUUUAUGCAAACCACGCCCGGUAUAGAAAAUCACUUUAAAAAAUACAAAUUAAGGAAAUGGGAAGAAAAAAUCAAUCCUAACCACCUAAUGAAUGAACAACUCUGUCGUCUAAUGUAUGUAGUAAGGUAGUGAUGGGAAAAGAAAAGAACAAAUUGAUUGAGACCCAUUGGAAGCAUGCAGUAAAGAAAUGAUACUUACUCAUUGAAAAGACAAAGGAGAAAAGUUUGAUAAAGGUGCAGCUUUUUCGCCUUUUUCCUGAGACACUUCCUUAGAAUUCAAUGGCGAAUCAAUUUGCAAUUCCAUGGCUAGAAUAAUUCAUCUAAAUGAUGAGAAUCUUUUUGUUUCUCUCUUUCUA